rnacentral:lncRNA from 1 species
GCUUAAUAUUAUUUAGCAAAAACAUUCCUCAAAUGAUGUCUUCGAUGUUUAAAUGUCAAUUUCAUCUUACAAUAUUCUAUCAUUCACACACUAGUAUUCUUAUAUAUAUAUAUAUUUUUUUUCAUUUGUUAGCUUUUCUCAUUUUAUCAUCCACACUAUUCUUACUCAUUACUUCUUAUCUCAGAUUAUAUUCUCACAAUGUCAUUCACACACCUAGUAGGACUGAAAAACAAGAUGAUAAUCUAGGCAUGUUAGUGAUCAGCCAACAAUGAAUAGUAGGGUCUGAUGGGGGGAUUGUCUAGGUUAGUAUUUCCAACCAAGGUGCUGCAGCACUUUACACUGCUGCAGUACUCCAGUUGGGAAACACUGACAUAGUAUGCCUCAGACAAUCCCAGCCAACACUUUAUAUUAGACUCUUAACUUUUGGUCUUUGUGACAAAGUUGGAAUACCGACAACUAGAAAGAUCACUGGAGCACACAAUCCCUCUUGUCACACAAGUGUUGAUGAAAAAGAGCAUAAUACAUGCACAGAAUGUACUUAAGUUUUAUAAGAUUAAUAACUCAUACUAGUAAACAGAGACCAGGUCUGGGAAACAAAAUAAAAACACAAAAAAAACAAGCUUCGAAACCGAAUCAAAAACUUUUUAUUUAAAGUACUUUUGGGUUAAAUGACAUCAUCA